rnacentral:rRNA from 1 species
CGCUGAGUUUGAUCCUGGCUCAGGAUGAACGCUAGCGGCAGGCUUAACACAUGCAAGUCGAGGGGUAUAGUUCUUCGGAGCUAGAGACCGGCGCACGGGUGCGUAACGCGUAUGCAAUCUACCUUUUACAGAGGGAUAGCCCAGAGAAAUUUGGAUUAAUACCUCAUAGUAUGUGAGAAUCGAAUGGUUUUUCACAUUAAAGUUCCAACGGUAAAAGAUGAGCAUGCGUCCCAUUAGCUAGAUGGUAAGGUAACGGCUUACCAUGGCGACGAUGGGUAGGGGUCCUGAGAGGGAGAUCCCCCGACACUGGUACUGAGACACGGACCAGACUCCGUACGGGGAGCAGCAGUUGGGGAAUUUUGGACAUGGACGCAAGUCUGAUCCCAGCCCA